rnacentral:rRNA from 1 species
UACAGAGGGUGCAAGCGUUGUUCGGAAUUACUGGGCGUAAAGCGUGCGUAGUCGGUAUUGAGAGUCGCGGGUGAAAUCCCAGGGCUUAACCCUGGAACUGCCUGCGAGACCUCAGUGAGCUGAGAGUGUGAGAGGGAUAGUGGAAUACCGAAGUGAUGAGCGGUGAAAUGCGUAGAGAGUUGGUGGAACACCGGUGGCGAAGGCGGCUAUCGUGGCUCACAACUGACGAAUCAGGCACGGAAAGCGUGGGGAGCAAACAGG